UACAGAGGGUGCGAGCGUUUAAUCGGAAUUACUGGGCGUAAAGCGUGCGUAGACGGUUAUUUAAGUCGGAUGUGAAAGCCCCGGGCUCAACCUGGGAAUUGCAUUCGAGACUGAAUAGCUAGGGUACGGUAGAGGGAAGCGGAAUUUCCGGUGUAGCGGUGAAAUGCGUAGAUAUCGGGAGGAACACCAGUGGCGAAGGCGGCACUCUGGGCCGGAACUGACGCUGAGGAGCGAAAGCGUGGGGAGCGAACAGG
rnacentral:rRNA from 1 species